rnacentral:rRNA from 1 species
GCUUACGACCAUAUCACAUUCUAAACACAACAUUUCGUCUGAUUUGUCAAGUUAAGUAACGUUGCGCCUGGAAUUCCCAGGUGCUAUAAGCG